rnacentral:RNase_P_RNA from 1 species
AAGGUACAGUAGGUAGUUGCUGGUGACAAUAGUCACGAGAGGAAAGUCCGGGCUGCAUGUGAGGCAGGACUCCAUCUAACGGAUGGCCAGAGUAAUCUGAGGGCAAGUGCAACAGAGAGUAGACCGCCAACAAUGUUGGUAAGGGUGAAAGGGUGGGGCAAGAGCCCACCAGUAGUCAUGGCGAUAUGGCUAGCUAGGUAAACCCUGUCCGCAGCAAGGGGCACCAGGUAUAAGCCUCACGCGUUUGCGUGUUCCGCUUGAGCUUGCUGGCAACAGCAAGCCUAGAUAAAUAAUUACCCAAGACAGAACCCGGCUUAUCGCUGUACCUUUUUU